GACGAACGCUGGCGGCGUGCUUAACACAUGCAAGUCGAGCGAUGAAGUUCCUUCGGGAACGGAUUAGCGGCGGACGGGUGAGUAACACGUGGGUAACCUGCCUCAUAGAGGGGAAUAGCCUUUCGAAAGGAAGAUUAAUACCCCAUAAGAUUGUAGUACCGCAUGGUAUAGCAAUUAAAGGAGUAAUCCGCUAUGAGAUGGACCCGCGUCGCAUUAGCUAGUUGGUGAGGUAACGGCUCACCAAGGCGACGAUGCGUAGCCGACCUGAGAGGGUGAGCGGCCACAUUGGGACUGAGACACGGCCCAGACUCCUACGGGAGGCAGCAGUGGGGAAUAUUGCACAAUGGGGGAAACCCUGAUGCAGCAACGCCGCGUGAGUGAUGACGGUCUUCGGAUUGUAAAACUCUGUCUUCAGGGACGAUAAUGACGGUACCUGAGGAGGAAGCCACGGCUAACUACGUGCCAGCCGCCGCAGUAA
rnacentral:rRNA from 1 species